GGGAGAUGAAGAACUAGCAAAGAAUACCAGUCAAAAGGUUUUGCGAAUAAGACCUUUAUGAUUGGGAUCCAGAGACUGGAUAUAUAGCUCCCAAACUGACCUUAAAUUUGAAAUUCAAUGUGAAUUCUCAUAUUAGUGAAUAACCCGGUUUUAUACCCCAUUUUCUGUAGAGUGAGAAACAGAGUAGCAAAUCACCAAGGUGUGCUUGUCUGGUGAAAUCAAGGUAUGUUGCUAUAAAACACAAACAGUCAGUGGCACUGAAAUGUGUAAAGGGACUCAAUAUAUGUUGGACUUUCUGUCCAGAUUUCCAUUAUUGGUGAGCAGCCCCCAAAACAAAAAAGUAAAUCAGCCCCUUCCUUCCCACAUUUCAGACAUUUACAAGAGUCCUUGUUAGAAGCUAGGAG